rnacentral:tRNA from 1 species
GCCUUCGUGGUGUAGCGGUAGCACAAUCGGUGCAUAUUUUAGAAGUCCGGGUUCGACUCCCGGCGAGGCA